rnacentral:rRNA from 1 species
UACAGGGGGUGCAAACGUUGCUCGGAAUCAUUGGGCGUAAAGAGCUCGUAGGCGGUCUGUCGCGUCGGCUGUGAAAACCCGGGGCUCAACCCCGGGCCUGCAGUCGAUACGGGCAGACUAGAGUGCGGUAGGGGAGACUGGAAUUCCUGGUGUAGCGGUGAAAUGCGCAGAUAUCAGGAGGAACACCGGUGGCGAAGGCGGGUCUCUGGGCCGUAACUGACGCUGAGGAGCGAAAGCGUGGGGAGCGAACAGG